GGAAUUUUCCACAAUGGGCGAAAGCCUGAUGGAGCAAUGCCGCUUGAGUGAUGACGGCCCUCUGGGUUGUAAAGCUCUUUUAUUUGGAAAAAAUGAACAUAUCACGCAAAGGAUAUGUUUUGAUGGUACCAUUUGAAUAAGCAACGGCUAACUAUGUGCCAGCAGCCGCGGUAAUACAUAGGUUGCAAGCGUUAUCCGGAUUUAUUGGGCGUAAAGCAAGCGCAGGUUGAUUAUCAAGUCUGAUGUGAAAGGCUAUUGCUCAACAAUAGUUUGCAUUGGAAACUGUUAAUCUAGAAUACAGUAGGGAGUUCUGGAAUUCAAUGUGGAGCGGUGAAAUGCGUAGAUAUAUUGAAGAACACCAGUGGCGAAGGCGAGAACUUGGGCUGUAAUUGACGCUUAGGCUUGAAAGUGUGGGGAGCAAAUAGGAUUAGAUACCCUAGUAGUCCACACUGUAAACGAUGGAUAUUAGUUGUUGGGGCGAAAGCCUCGGUGACGCAGCUAACGCAUUAAAUAUCCCGCCUGGGUAGUACAUUCGCAAGAAUGAAACUCAAAGGAAUUGACGGGGACCUGCACAAGUGGUGGAGCAUGUUGCUUAAUUCGACAAUACACGAAAAACCUUACCCAGGUUUGACAUCCCUUGCAAAGCUAUAGAAAUAUAGUGGAGGCUAUCAAGGUGACAGGUGGUGCAUGGUUGUCGUCAGCUCGUGUCGUGAGAUGUUUGGUUAAGUCCCGCAACGAGCGCAACCCCUGUUUGCAGUUACGUGUCUGCAAAGACUGAAGCGAAAGCUAUAGGAAGGUGGGGAUGACGUCAAAUCAUCAUGCCCCUUAUGCCUGGGGCUGCAAACGUGCUACAAUGGUUGGUACAAUGUGUGCAAAACAGUAAUGUCUAGCUUAAUCACUAAAGCCAAUCUCAGUUCGGAUUGAAGGCUGCAACUCGCCUUCAUGAAGUUGGAAUCACUAGUAAUCGCGUGUCAGCUAUAUCGCGGUGAAUACGUUCUCAGGUCUUGUACACACCGCCCGUCAAACUACAAAAGGUAAAUAUGUUUAAAACCCCAAAAUUAACGUUUUUACGAAUAUCUCAGGAAAAAU
rnacentral:rRNA from 1 species